GUGCAGAUCUUCUUCAACUCCUCCUGCUUCUAUCAUGGCACAUCAUGCUUCUCAGUCACCUCGCACUCUCGUUUAUAUGAGGUCUCGGGUAGGCACAUCUCCAUCCACCAUUUUGCAUCUUAUGGCACCAGAAGGGAACAUGGCGAUUGAUUGGAAAAAAGAUUGCUUAAGGAGUGGAUUACAGGCCACUGAGAUGGUGUCGAAGUACACUAGGAAACUUCCGUAGGGUAGGGAUUUUCUCCGGUUGAGAAGGGACACCGUGGGAACAGCAUCAGUUUAGGGAAAGUGUCUACACGUCUCAGACGAAUUCAUUCGGUUUCGUUCUUCCUGUGUUGUUUAGAAGUAGAUCUCCAACGAGAGAGAUAAUUUAAUAUGUAAAGCAAGACGUUCCUGUCCUCCUAAAUUGAUAGUUAUGUGUCAAAGUCAAGAUUGGGAGAGAAAAAGAGAAUAUAUGCAACAUAUGAUGUCGGGCAAUCGGGAGUGGAGAGGCCGUGAUGACCGGUCUCUAAGAACCAUCCUCUCAAGGGGAAAAAAUAUUUGUUUUCAUUUUUGAAAGGCAAAAGAAACAACCCUUUGUUUUGCGUCAAAUUUUGAAGUUCUAUACAUUGAAUUUUGAAUUUAGUGGUCCCUGUUGAAGCAUCAAUCAUGCGAAUCAUACAAUUUUCGUUUCCUUUCGUCUUUGAUGUUAGGUCAUGCAAUUUUCAGAGUCA